CUGGCUCAGGAUGAACGCUGGCGGCGUGCCUAACACAUGCAAGUCGAACGAGCGAGAGAUGAAACCUAGUGAUUCUCGAGCGAGUGGCGGACGGGUGAGUAACGCGUGGGUAACCUGCCUUACAGAGGGGGAUAACAGUUUGAAAAGACUGCUAAUACCGCAUAAGCACACAGUACCGCAUGGUACAGGGUGAAAAGAUUUAUCACUGUAAGAUGGACCCGCGUCUGAUUAGCCAGUUGGCAGGGUAACGGCCUACCAAAGCGACGAUCAGUAGCCGACCUGAGAGGGUGAUCGGCCACAUUGGGACUGAGACACGGCCCAAACUCCUACGGGAGGCAGCAGUGGGGGAUAUUGCACAAUGGAGGAAACUCUGAUGCAGCCGACGCCGCGUGAGUGAAGAAGUAUUUCGGUAUGUAAAGCUCUAUCAGCAGGGAAGAUAAUGACAGUACCUGACCAAGAAGCCCCGGCUAACUACGUGCCAGCAGCCGC
rnacentral:rRNA from 1 species